GUGGGGAAUAUUGGGCAAUGGGCGAAAGCCUGACCCAGCAACGCCGCGUGAAGGAAGAAGGUUUUCGGAUCGUAAACUUCUAUCCUUGGUGAAGAUAAUGACGGUAGCCAAGAAGGAAGCCCCGGCUAACUACGUGCCAGCAGCCGCGGUAAUACGUAGGGGGCAAGCGUUGUCCGGAAUGAUUGGGCGUCAAGGGCGCGUAGGCGGGCCGGUAAGUCUGAAGUGAAAGUCCUGCUUUUAAGGUGGGAAUUGCUUUGGAUACUGUCGGGCUUGAGUGCAGGAGAGGUAAGCGGAAUUCCCGGUGUAGCGGUGAAAUGCGUAGAGAUCGGGAGGAACACCAGUGGCGAAGGCGGCUUACUGGACUGUAACUGACGCUGAGGCGCGAAAGUGUGGGGAGCAAACAGGAUUAGAUACCCCAGUAGUCC
rnacentral:rRNA from 1 species